UUAUUAUUAAUAUAUAUUUCAUUUUAUUACUUUAAAUAAAUAACAGGCUUGUAAUGUGUUGAUCAAUUUGCUUGGUGGCUUGAUAACUCACGAGCGAGGCUGAUCUCUGCAAGAUAAGCCAAUCUCUUCCCCUUCCAUGGGAGCCUCAGCAGGAUUCAGCUGUGGAGUGAAAAGCCAGCCAUGCUUGCAGCACUGCCUUCUGUGGGGAAACAGCAGCUGAAUUUUAAUUUGUGAAUGGAGAGAAAUGUAGGUUAGAAGGUUCUGCUUCCCCCCUUUCCUCCGCCAAAGUUUCAUAUCCUUGGCUGAGAGGAUUAUAGCGCUCUAGGAAAACACUUUAGUGGUCUGGUAUUUUUGGUCCUUCUUCCCUGCAAGGCCUGCUUGCUGUUCUUCCAUAAGGGGGUGAGGAGGGUAAACUUCUGCAAUUAGCUGAUCCUGCAGUGAUGAGCUUGGGAACAUUUUCUUCUCAUCUUGAGUAUGGGGUGCCUUUAUGGAACUGGUCUAUAAUCAACACUUGACAUCCCUCAAUACUAUGGAGCAGCUAGCCAGCUGCAAGCUGGACCCUGGUGUGCUGCCAAUCUGGUCUGCAAGGUCAGCAUGGUCUGAAUGGGUUCGAUACAUAGUUGUAGAAGAAAAACAAAUAUAUGCCUUAAAAGCAAUCAUGUCAGUCUGUGUGGGAUUUCCCUCUCUGAAGUACAAAUGCCAGCAAAAUUCCCAUCUGUGUGUAUAUUUGAGCUAGUCACUCCAGGCUCUCUUUGUAGUCCCAGAGGAGAAAAUAGUACUUUAGCAGUGUGAUUACUGACCCAGGUCACCCAGGCUUCCCACUAAUGGCUUUGGGAGACAGCUGUUCAGAAGAAAGGUAUGGGUCACACAGGGAGCUCAAGUGCUGUCAUCUUUAGCCAGGUGGGUCCAACACCCAGCACCUCUCUAUUUCAGGGUUCAUUGCCAUCAUCCCACAAUGUGCCAAGAAAAAAUCCCCAUCUAACAUUGUGCUUUCUAUUCUAGGCUGUGACAGAAGCCUAGCCCCCCUCCAUCCCUGGGUUAUUACCCAAAUAUCAUCUUGAGGACAGUGUGCUUGGAAGGGCUUUUUGGAAGCCCGCCAUUGCUUCUUCAGCUUUUCUGUUACAUCUGUUCAGAGAGAGAGUAACAUGCUUAGUGGCUUGACCCCAGCUUCCCCUUCUCAUCUUAUUUGGCUCAAUUGCUCUGGAAAAUACUACAGUGGUUUGAGGUUUGGCCAUAUUUGCCUCUCCCUUAUAAUAAGCAGUGAAUUGCUUUUUCCUAUCAUUUUCUCUCUUAUAUGGUGUCCCCUCUGUGCUUCCCUGUUUUGGGGCAAGACUGUGUAACAUGUAACUCUCAUCCUUCUUUCAUCCUGCAGCGUCCUUUUUAACAAACAGACCUUGUUUUGGCCAUGCCCUGCCACUCUGAAGCUGUGAUUCAAACGCUUUAAUACUAAAGUAUACAUUUACAUCAAUCUCUCACCUUCAUUUCUUCUACACUCUUGGAGUGAUACCAACCAGCCUGAGUGAUUUAUUGCAUUUUAAUAUAUUGAACUGUUCUUUCACCUCUCUUCUCCAUUCACCCGCCUUUGUGAGCGCCUUGGCUUCAUUGCUUGUAAAGUGUCACCUUGGGAUGGAUAUUUCCCCUUUACCUUCUGAAGGAAAAGAAAAAUGAAAAGAAAUCUGUUUAGCUACUCUGCUCUCUGAGUGAACAAUUUAGCUUAUCAUUCUCUUUGAUUGCUCCUCUUGGACCAUGGUAGUGAUACUAAAUAACUUUCCUCUGGGCUUCCUGCUGCUGACGUGCCGGGACCAGGGUUAUUGCUCACCUUUGUAGUUCUGGUUAAUUCAUCCUCACCUCUCCACCAGACCUGCUUCAGCAGUAGCUUUGCAGUAGAACUGGAAAUUACAGGUGUACAUAACCAUGGGGUGAUUUACCUCCAGCAGCAGGAAAAAUGCUCAGCUCAGCAUAAGCACAUGGAGGCUCUAACCCCAGCAGCAGAACAAGGCUACAAAAGGCUUGUUUAGAAGAUUCCUGCAGAAGAUAAAAAACUUUCAAUACAAAUACUCCUGCUUUUCUCCCAUUGUCUUCCUUCUCCAGCUGAUUCUCAUUAAGAAAAAAAUAUAUAGAUACAUAUAUACUUCUGAAUCACCUACCUGCCCCAAAUUUCUUGAACGUAAAUGGAACAUAAUGAACAGAACUUGCUUCAAAAAAGUUACCAUUUUUUAAAGAGUGUGAGAAAGGAAAUGUCAGGUCUAGGUUUACACAGAAAAUCUUCUGCAAAGCUGUGAUUAAUACAAACAUUUCCUGAGUCGUUCUCUAAUGCCUCCUCUUCUUCUAAGUACUGUAAUCUAAAUGAUAAAGUAAACAAAUAGAAAAAGGCCAAUUGUUGCAACUCCCAGAAAUUCACAAUGGAGAAUUAAACCCUAGCGGUGAAGUUGAAGGGAGGUAAUUAAAACAGUUUGGAAAUCUUACAGAUAGAAAGAAAAAUGGGGGCUUUACUGUCAAUGGAUAAUCUCAGUUGCCAAAGUACUUGCAGAUGGCUUUCAGCCUAGAUAUUUUCAGCUGGGAGGAUCUUCAGCAACACAAUGAGCUUUGUGAAUGCUGACCCUUAGUAAGUAUCUAAACUAAUCUUCAUUUAAAAUAUCUGGGGAAUCAGGAAACAACUGACUCUUACCCAAGCUUUCCUCAGAUGCCUUUUGCAAAAGGCUCCCAGCAGACAGAGUAGAGCUGCUCACAAAGACAUCAGUAAUCUUUCCAACCUCAUCUGUUUUUGCACAGACUUGUAUUAAAAAUGAAAGAACCCUGGUGAAAUUAAUGCAAAAUACAGUUGGAAAGAUAAUGAAAACUCUUUUGUGACAGACUUUAGGCUGCUGCAAGCAUCUCUCACUUCCCUAUUCCAAAAAGAAUAUAACAGUACUUUUUAGUGUUUCCUUAUAUUUUAAGGAGAAACACACACAUUUUCUACUUUUUUUUUUUUUCCCCAUUUUUUUUAGUAAGCUAAAAUGCAAAUUGGAUGAGGACAACAUAUAAUGUCCUCGCUUAUGAUUUUUUUUUUUUUUCUUCUGCAGAAAAGAUGUGUUCAGUAUUUUAAUAGCACCAUCUGUCACAGUAGCAAGUGCCAAGCUGUAAUAUUGAUCUUGUCACUUUGGGGAAUAGUAUGAUAUUUAGGAUUAUAAAUAACAUUUUUCUUUGCUCUAUUCAUGUGUUUAGUUUUCAUGUUGAACCCAAACUCAAGAAACUACUCUUAAUCACCUAAUAAGACAAGUACUUUCUUAGAAUCCAUAACAGAGGUCUUAUUAGGACCUGUGGAGCAGUAUUUGUGUUGUUAGCUGUCGUGCCUUAGUAAUGUGAAUAACUUAAUCGGUCUAUGCAAUUUAUGUAGUGACAACUAUAGUCACAACUAUGCAAAUUUAAUAGCUUCUAGUGCCCAUAAGUCAUCACUGGGCACUAGUUUUCUCUCUUUCAAAGAGAGGUGAUUAUGCUGAUGAGAUUUUAAAUGAAGAACACUCAAACUGAAGUUACAAAAAAGCAAGUGCUGCAUUUCUUGCUGUUUUCCAUGUUAAACAGAAGCUCCCUGCAUGUUUAAAGGCUAUGUCCCCUUUGUAUAAACUGGAUUUUGUGUUAAAUCUUCAUUUAGGUUGCCUUGGAAAACAGAAGAUGCAGUGUGCAGUUCGUUUGUGUUCCAGGCUCUCUGGAAAGACCAGAGUGUUAAGAUCAGGUAGAAGUUAUCAUGAACCUGGAAAGGUUUCAGUGUGUUGCACUGAUAUAUUCAGAGACUUCUGCCAGCACAUUGCUGCUGAGGAAGAGAAAGUUAUCCCAAUAAUGUAAAAACUUGUGUGUCUUUCUAUUUGUUUUUCUGGAACUAGAUGUAUUUUUCAGCACAGUGGGCAAAACUGAUAUUCUUAGGUGCUUGAUGGCAAAAUUCCUGGACAGGUGAAAGGAGUAAUGAAAUUUUUUAAGUGACAAUGAUAUUUUCCAAGAUUUUCAGGGUUGAAUACUUCUGUUUGUGCUCCUCUGUUGGAAGUGAUUGACAUUUUAGUGAUAUGGCAACAUAUUUUUUUUCUUCUUCUACUCCACGAUCUCCUUUGGUUUGGAUAUUACUUGAGUUUUAUGCCUGUUAAAGUAAGUUUUUGCCUGGGAUUUGUAGUGUUAAAGUGUCAGAAUAUAAAUACUUUAAUACUGUUUCUUCUGUUAGGAGUUCUGCUGAGCUCUGUAUAUUUAUCCUCUGCAUGUAAUUUCACUCACUACUUCAAGGCAGCACAUGGAGCUCAUAAGUACUGCAUUUUACAGAUUUUCAGCAGUUGUCAUUAAACGUCUCUCUUGAAGAAAAUAAAGCUCUUACACAAAACAUCAAAAGCAUGUACUAAAAUAAUCCAUUAUAAUCCUAUUCUUCAUUUCUGAAAGGCUGUGCAAAUUGAUUUCAUCUAAGAUAUUGCCAAACUAUAUCCAAGGUUGGGGUUGGUUCUUUUAUUUGUUUCAUUUCCUUUAACUUACAGAGAUUUACAAAGUGGAGUAUUUUUACUGUGGAAAAAUGAAAUCUAGUAAAUAGGUUUGAUGGAGUUUGGAUAAUCCUUUCUCUAACUCACUGCUCAUUUUGGCUGCCUGCUUGCUCAGACCAUUGAUCACCAGCAUUUCAUUAAAGUAAUACCUGGUGAGAGGAGAGCUGGGUCUGUAGCCAUGUAGAAAUACAUAGAAAUGGCACACUUUCCUUCUUAGAGAGAUUGUUGUAUAUAGAUUUACAAGCAAUCUGUAAUAGGAAUCAGCCAACUACUUCAGAAAAUUUUACAUAUAAGUCACACUUACACACAUAGGUUACACGUAUAUGCAGGUUGGGAUAAGUCCAGCUGCCAAAGUGCUAGCAUUGCCUUUGGAUACUAAAUGUGAUUCUUAUACAGCUGGGUUCUGACAGGGGCUGAUAUUCAGCUUUAACAUCAAUGGGUAUCCAGGUCAGGCAGUGUCCAGCCUGGGUUUUGUGGGACAUGGCCCCUGCUCUCCUUGGACCUCAGUAUUGUGGUGGAUAAACAGGGCUGCUCAGUCCUUGCAUCAUCAGAGGGGAACAAUGAAAGUCGGAAUAGGAACAGGCAUUAUUUUAUAUACUGUUUGGUGCAGGAAAAGAAGCAAUGACCUUGUUGGCAUCUUUUUGUGUGUGUGUGUGUUUUAAUAUUUAUCUGUUUGACUGUUUUUACAAACAAAAAGGAAUAUCUACCUCUCCUUCUUGCUCUCUGGCAAAAUUGGCACUAAGUACUCUUGAAGACAGGUAAUGGAUACAGAUACAGAAUGCUGGUGUUUUCUUAUAUGUCAGUCACUUCUUGCAACUGCAAAUCCAAAUUCCUUUGCUGAUGUUCUCAGAGCCUGUAAUGCCUAGUUGCAGGUGAGAAAGAAGACAGCAAGAGACAUUGCUCUGUAUGACAGUUAUUGCAUAUAUAUACUUCUCUCAUCUGACUUUUGGUGGUGGCAGGGAGAGCUAUGCCAUCAUUAACAGCCAGCAGGAUGUGACGGGAUGUAUUUGUACAGUGAGCUCAACCCCCCUGGUGCCUUCCUGGGGGCAGAAAGUGGAGGAAACAAUGGGCUGUCUCAGUGGCCAGGAGUUGGGGUGCUGGGGAGGAAGGUGAAUUGGAAAUGGGGACACCAGGGAGCAAAGACAGGACAGCUGUAAGGAGCUGAAAGGCUGGUGCAGGGAGCAGGAGGAUGGGGAGAGAGCAUGGUUUGUAGGUAAAUGAGCAGAUGGGAAGGGAUUACAUGAAUCUCUGUGAUCAAAGACAAGAUUCUGUUUGCUUGUUUCACCAAGAGCUUCAUCUCUUCGUUUGGCUGGAUAACACGAUUUGCUCUUGAGCAGAGAUCUCUAAAGCAAACAUGGGUAUUUCCUCCCUUUGGAUGAUCAAACAGAAGAGCUGCAUGAGGUUACUCAAAGUGUCUGAUUAAAGCCAAAUCCCCCCAAAUGCCUGUGCUGACUCUUGUUUCCAAAUACAAGAAGUUCAGUAUGGCUGCAUGCAGCCCACACAGACAAGGCUAUACCUCAGAUAAAGGAGCGAUGGACAUCCCUGGGGAAGCAGAGGAGGAAGUAGAGAGUGAAACAAGGAUAACAAAACAGAGUAGAAACAUUGCUCCAAGGAAAGUAGAGACGUGCUCUGAGUGUAAAUUAAUUAAGCAGCAGAUUUAAUCUAAGGUUUAUGGGUAUUACUAUGAAAGAAAACAUGUCAGACCUAUUAUAUUUAGCUAUUAUAGCUAAAGUAUUUAUAUCUGUAAAUAGAGUGUGCAAAUUCACAAAUCCAAGAGAACGUAAAAAGCAGCUGUUUUGGAGAUAAGAAUAGAUGUAGCAUGAUAGAUAUUUGGUCUUCUGCAUGCUGGGAGAGUUGCUAGGAAAGGUUUGUGGGGACUAGCACUCAGUGUGAUAGCAGAGCUAGGUGAGUGGAGAAUGAUGCACAGACUUGUUUGUGAAGGAAAAAAAUAAUUAGGGUAAAUAUUUGUCUCUAAAUGUUAGCAGAAACAGAGUCUAGAAACAAGUGCUUUGAGGUGAGUGAUCUCAGGCAAUAAAUUGUGCCAAGAAUGAUGCUUUCUUCAUUAGAAAGUCCAAAGGAAUGAUUGCAAGUAUAAAAAAUGCCAAUAACAGUUUUUACUUGAGGAACAUCCUGCUUCAGUGCUGGGCAGGCUGAAUAGUACAAAAGAUAGCAAGGCUCCCCUUUCCUCAGUGGGUCACCCAGAUCUGCACUUCCAGAUAUUAUUUCCAGAAGCUUCUCCCUUUUUUGAUGUGGGUGUCCCAGCUGAGCAUCCCAACCUGAGGGGCUCUCCGGUGCCCAUAACGAGGACUUUUAUCUGUGAGCCAGGCAUCCUGGGAUGCAGCUAUUUCAGCUCUUGCCUUUAUUAUGACACUUGCUGAAGUUCUUACCCUUGAAAUGCAGGCUGGGAAAGGAGUGACCAUCCUCUGCCUGGACAAGGGUAUUUGAGGGGACAAGCAAGAUGCAUUUCGGGGCAGAAACACAAAGCUUAGGACUUCAGGGUUUUUGUCUGUAAUGGCAGCUGUCUGUAAGAGUCAUUUGGACAGGCGACCUAUGCAAUCAAAAUAUCAGUGAAAAUAGGAAUGAAAAAGAUCUCCAAAGGUCAUCUAGCUCACCCUUUUGUCCAAAGACAAGUUUAAUUAUACCCGUGCUGUUCCCGAGAGAUAUUACAUCUUCUCUGCCUCUGUAAAUUAAACGAUCCAAGUUCUUUCAGGUUUUUCUUCAGAUACAAUGUAUUUUUGGAAAUCUGUGAGCCUCUCCUGGACUCUCUCCAACUGAUUCACAUCCUCCCAUCACCCAGGGCUGCAUGCAGCUGGUACCCUACAUAUGACCUCCCCAAUUCUGGAGAGAGCUCAGGAUCACUAGUGGUAUUUUAUGCCCUUGUGGAGUCUAUAGAGGUUUUGAGCUUUUCCUAUCAAUUUGGAGGGAGCAUCUGUAGAGAUCAGUUAAAUGUCUUGAAGAACUAUUUGGUUUGUUGGGCCUCUUUUACUAACUUCUGUCAGGGUAAAAUAAUGAGCCAAGUCUAAAUUUGAAAACUUGUAGAAAAUGUAUAAAUGUAGACGGUUUGAAGAAGACUGAAAAUUAGGACAAAGUUUUUGAUAAAUGACAAAGACUCUAUUUACAAGGAAUUGCUUAUUGCAGCUGUCCAUGUUAGGUCAGGUCUCAUUUAGCAUCUUCAUUUAAUGAUCCUGUAGAGGGAGUAAACAACCUGUUAAUGAAUCUGUGUGUGAUGCUAUAUAGGGAGUAACUGUGAGUAAUAAGCAGGAAAGGAAAGACUACAAAAGGACAUAGAGAUGAUAAACAUGGAUAAUGAAGUUAAUUUCAUCUCUGCAUAAUACAAAUGCAUGCAUUUGAGUAAAGUGGAGGAGGGGAAUAUGCAUAAAAAAAUCUGGAGAAAACAGGCAAUAGUCAAAAGCCUGCUACAGGAAACGUAGACUUAUGUUUGCAACGUGAUAUUGUUCACAAAAAGCUGAGCACCACUUUGGACUGUUCACAAAGAGGUUGCACACAUGUAAGAUGUGGGAAUCUCUCCUCUCUGUUGGCUUGUUUCUGCCAUGUGUACUCACUAUUUGAAUAUAGACAUAAAAAAAUAGCACUUAAGUUGAAGGGGGAAUGCUUAAUGAGAUAAGAUUCAAAGAGCUUGGAUUUGCUGGUUAACCCAAUGGACAGACCAACAUAUGGAUCUAGGUUUCAACUAGGAAAAAAAAGGCAAAAA